CACGUAGGCGGCGAUCUAAGUCGGAUGUGAAAUCCCUCGGCUCAACCGAGGACGUGCAUCCGAAACUGGAUUGCUCGAGUAUGGAAGAGGGUCGCGGAAUUCUCGGUGUAGAGGUGAAAUUCGUAGAUAUCGGGAGGAACACCAGUGGCGAAGGCGGCGACCUGGGCCAAUACUGACGCUGAGGUGCGAAAGCGUGGGAGCAAACA
rnacentral:rRNA from 1 species